rnacentral:tRNA from 1 species
AGGCCGCGUCGGCCGGGCGCGCCGGGGCGGCUGCCCUUGAUGGCCAGCAGCGCCUGAUGCUGCUGCGGCAUCAGUUCAAGGCCGGCGGCGGCGUU